UGGGGAAUUUUGGACAAUGGGCGAAAGCCUGAUCCAGCAAUGCCGCGUGUGUGAAGAAGGCCUUCGGGUUGUAAAGCACUUUUGUCCGGAAAGAAAUCCUUGGCUCUAAUACAGUCGGGGGAUGACGGUACCGGAAGAAUAAGCACCGGCUAACUACGUGCCAGCAGCCGCGGUAAUACGUAGGGUGCAAGCGUUAAUCGGAAUUACUGGGCGUAAAGCGUGCGCAGGCGGUUUGCUAAGACCGAUGUGAAAUCCCCGGGCUCAACCUGGGAACUGCAUUGGUGACUGGCAGGCUAGAGUAUGGCAGAGGGGGGUAGAAUUCCACGUGUAGCAGUGAAAUGCGUAGAGAUGUGGAGGAAUACCGAUGGCGAAGGCAGCCCCCUGGGCCAAUACUGACGCUCAUGCACGAAAGCGUGGGGAGCAAAACAGGAUUAGAUACCCUGGUAAUCCACGCCCUAAACGAUGUCAACUAGUUGUUGGGGAUUCAUUUCCUUAGUAACGUAGCUAACGCGUGAAGUUGACCGCCUGGGGAGUACGGUCGCAAGAUUAAAACUCAAAUGAAUUGACGGGGUCAU
rnacentral:rRNA from 1 species